rnacentral:rRNA from 1 species
GAUGAACGCUGGCGGCGUGCUUAACACAUGCAAGUCGAACGAAGCACUUUAGUUGAUUUCUUCGGAUUGAUUCUAAAGUGACUUAGUGGCGGACGGGUGAGUAACGCGUGGGUAACCUGCCUCGUACAGGGGGAUAACAGUUAGAAAUGACUGCUAAUACCGCAUAACCCGCUAAGGUCGCAUGACCUAGACGGAAAAGAUUUAUCGGUACGAGAUGGACCCGCGUCUGAUUAGCUUGUUGGCGGGGUAACGGCCCACCAAGGCGACGAUCAGUAGCCGGUCUGAGAGGAUGAACGGCCACAUUGGGACUGAGAUACGGCCCAGACUCCUACGGGAGGCAGCAGUGGGGAAUAUUGGGCAAUGGGGGAAACCCUGACCCAGCAACGCCGCGUGAAGGAAGAAGGCCUUCGGGUUGUAAACUUCUUUUAGCAGGGACGAAGGACGUGACGGUACCUGCAGAAAAGCAACGGCUAACUACGUG